rnacentral:rRNA from 1 species
CACAAGCGGAGGAACAUGUGGUUUAAUUCGAUGAUACGCGAGGAACCUUACCUGGGCUUAAAUGCAGAGUGCAUGGAGUGGAAACACUUCUUCCCUUCGGGGCUCUUUGCAAGGUGCUGCAUGGUUGUCGUCAGCUCGUGCCGUGAGGUGUCGGGUUAAGUCCCAUAACGAGCGCAACCCUUAUCGUUAGUUGCCAGCGGGUAAAGCCGGGAACUCUAGCGAAACUGCCGGUGUAAACCGAGAGGAAGGUGGGGAUGACGUCAAAUCAGCACGGCCCUUAUGUCCAGGGCUACACACGUGUUACAAUGGCCGGUACAGAGGGCAGCUACCUGGAGACAGGAUGCGAAUCUCGAAAGCCGGUCUCAGUUCGGAUCGGAGUCUGCAACUCGACUCCGUGAAGCUGGAUUCGCUAGUAAUCGCGCAUCAGCCAUGGCGCGGUGAAUACGUUCCCGGGCCUU